rnacentral:sRNA from 1 species
CUGGAUGUGUGUGUGCACAAGGGGCUAC